rnacentral:rRNA from 1 species
AACGAACGCUGGCGGCGCGCCUAAUACAUGCAAGUCGAGCGAGAAGACGUAGCAAUACGUUUGUAAAGCGGCGAACGGGUGAGGAAUACAUGGGUAACCUACCCUCGAGGUGGGGAAUAACUAGCCGAAAGGUUAGCUAAUACCGCGUACGCUCCUUGGACUUCGGUUCAGGGAAGGAAAGCGAUACCGUGGGUAUCGCGCUCUUGGAUGGGCUCAUGUCCUAUCAGCUUGUUGGGAGGUAACGGCUCACCAAGGCUUCGACGGGUAGCUGGUCUGAGAGGACGAUCAGCCACACUGGCACUGCGACACGGGCCAGACUCCUACGGGAGGCAGCAGUAAGGAAUAUUGCGCAAUGGGCGAAAGCCUGACGCAGCGACGCCGCGGUGGGGGAU